rfam:Tangfeifania diversioriginum strain DSM 27063 genome assembly, contig: Ga0131164_118
GGUGAGGUGGGUGAGUGGCUGAAACCACUGGUUUGCUAAACCAGCGUACGGGUAACACUGUACCGGGGGUUCGAAUCCCCCCCUCACCG